rnacentral:rRNA from 1 species
CUGCUGCCUUCCGUAGGAGUUUGGUCCGUGUCUCAGUACCAAUGUGGGGGACCUUCCUCUCAGAACCCCUAUCCAUCGUCGGUUUGGUGGGCCGUUACCCCGCCAACUGCCUAAUGGAACGCAUGCCUAUCUAUCAGCGAUGAAUCUUUAGCAAAUAUCCCCAUGCGGGGCCCCUGCUUCAUGCGGUAUUAGUCCGACUUUCGCCGGGUUAUCCCCCUCUGAUAGGUAAGUUGCAUACGCGUUACUCACCCGUGCGCCGGUCCGG